ensembl:lncRNA
AAAGGGAGAAAACAUUAAGAAAAAGGAGUUAGAUCUCAACUCACCUUGUGAUCUGAGAAGAGGACUGAUUGAACCCUUGUCUGCAAAAGAGAAAACAAAGAAUUUAUGAAGGUGACCCAAGGGUGCAUUCAUGGGCAUUGGAAGAUGCCUGGAAGAAGCAGGAGACCAGAUUCCUUUCUAAUUAAGUCAGCCAGCACUAGAAAAUGAUUACAUUUAUAUUAGUUUUGCAUUUACCUGAAUGGUCUCUUUAAUAGUACCUAGAAAAAAAAAAUGAACUUAAGACCUGUAAAGAACCUUCAGCACAGGCCCUGAU